GUGCCAGUAGUGCAACGGGUUAGAGCACGCGCUCUCUCAUAGAGUGAGAUGAGGGUUCGAGUCUCGCCUGGCUCA